rnacentral:lncRNA from 1 species
GACCACUGAAAAGUUGUUUAAUCUCUCUGUGCCUGGGUUUCUGCAUUUGUAAAACAGAGGUGAUAAUAAUAAAUUUUAAGCAGAGUUUCAAGAAAGUAGUUGAUACCUCUGUCUCUGAAGACAGUUGCUGAGCAAAAAGAAGGGAAAAAGCAAGACUUGGGGUGGAGGGAUCAGAGAGAUGGGAUCUUGCUCUGUCACCUAGACUGGAGUGCAGCAGUACAAUCAUAGCUUACUGUAGCCUCAAACUCUUGGGCUCAAGUGAUCCUCCUGCCUGAGCACCCCCAGUCUCUGCGAUUACAGGCAUCAACUUUCAUCCUUUCAAAUUUCUCAGAAUUUUUCAGCAACAUAGGCUCAGGGAGGAGCCCAGUCAAGGCAAGGAGCAGCUGGUUGGAGCAUCAUGCGCAACAAACUUUAAAGCAUCAGAAGAAUAAAGCUGAAGGCUGGACCUCAUGUACCCCUUCCUGAAGAGAAGGACCCAGGCCGUGACCCCUCUCACCAAAGGAAAUGAUGCUUUCUAAUGGAAAGAAUAGCAUUCUUAGCAUCAACCUCUGUCCACUGAGAAGUUUCUUACUGAUUGACUCCUUAAGUCAGCCCCAAACCCUUUAAUAUGCCACCCAAAACUUGUCUGAUUGAGAACAUGACAAAAGAACACUGAAGAGAUAAAUAAGAA